rnacentral:rRNA from 1 species
UACGGGGGGAGCAAGCGUUGUUCGGAUUUACUGGGCGUAAAGAGCUCGUAGGUGGUUCGGUAAGUCGGAGUGUGAAAUCUCCAGGCUCAACCUGGAGGGGUCAUUCGAUACUGCCGUGACUAGAGUUCGGUAGGGGAGUGUGGAAUUCCUGGUGGAGCGGUGAAAUGCGCAGAUAUCAGGAGGAACACCCGUAGCGAAGGCGGCACUCUGGGCCGAUACUGACACUGAGGAGCGAAAGCGUGGGGAGCGAACAGG